ACUCCUACGGGAGGCAGCAGUGAGGAAUAUUGGUCAAUGGACGCAAGUCUGAACCAGCCACGUCGCGUGAAGGAAGACGGCCCUACGGGUUGUAAACUUCUUUUAUACGGGAAUAAAGUGCCCCACGCGUGGGGUUUUGCAUGUACCGUAUGAAUAAGGAUCGGCUAACUCCGUGCCAGCAGCCGCGGUAAUACGGAGGAUCCGAGCGUUAUCCGGAUUUAUUGGGUUUAAAGGGUGCUCAGGCGGGGGAUUAAGUCGGCGGUGAAAUUUUGCAGCUCAACUGUAAAAGUGCCUUCGAAACUGGUUUCCUUGAGUGUGGAUGAGGUAGGCGGAAUUUGUGGUGUAGCGGUGAAAUGCAUAGAUAUCACGAGGAACUCCGAUUGCGCAGGCAGCUUACUAAACCAUAACUGACGCUCAAGCACGAAGGCGUGGGGAUCAAACAGGAUUAGAUACCCUGGUAGUC
rnacentral:rRNA from 1 species